UAGGGAAUAUUAGGCAAUGGGGGGAACCCUGACGCAAGAAAGCCGGGUGAAGAAGAAAGCCUUUGGGUAAUAAAGCUAUUUUUACGGUGAGAUAAGACGUACCGAGAGAGUCGUCAAC
rnacentral:rRNA from 1 species